rnacentral:rRNA from 1 species
AAAGGCGAAAAGAACCCCGGCGAGGGGAGUGAAAAAGAACCUGAAACCGUGUACGUACAAGCAGUGGGAGCACCCUUCGGGGUGUGACUGCGUACCUUUUGUAUAAUGGGUCAGCGACUUAUAUUCUGUAGCAAGGUUAACCGUAUAGGGGAGCCGGAGGGAAACCGAGUCUUAAUUGGGCGUUAAGUUGCAGGGUAUAGACCCGAAACCCGGUGAUCUAGCCAUGGGCAGGUUGAAGGUUGGGUAACACUAACUGGAGGACCGAACCGACUAAUGUUGAAAAAUUAGCGGAUGACCUGUGGCUGGGGGUGAAAGGCCAAUCAAACCGGGAGAUAGCUGGUUCUCCCCGAAAGCUAUUUAGGUAGCGCCUCGUGAAUUCAUCUCCGGGGGUAGAGCACUGUUUCGGCUAGGGGGCCAUCCCGGCUUACCAACCCGAUGCAAACUGCGAAUACCGGAGAAUGUUAUCACGGGAGACACACGGCGGGUGCUAACGUCCGUCGUGAAGAGGGAAACAACCCAGACCGCCAGCUAAGGUCCCAAAGUCAUGGUUAAGUGGGAAACGAUGUGGGAAGGCCCAGACAGCCAGGAUGUUGGCUUAGAAGCAGCCAUCAUUUAAAGAAAGCGUAAUAGCUCACUGGUCGAGUCGGCCUGCGCGGAAGAUGUAACGGGGCUAAACCAUGCACCGAAGCUGCGGCAGCGAACGUAUCACCCAAGACAACUUUACGGAGUUGACGAUUGACGGAGCGAAGCGACGUCAAAGCGUUCAUUAAAGUCGAGUUGGCUUAGGGAUACGUUCGUUGGGUAGGGGAGCGUUCUGUAAGCCUGUGAAGGUGUGUCGUGAGGCAUGCUGGAGGUAUCAGAAGUGCGAAUGCUGACAUAAGUAACGAUAAAGCGGGUGAAAAGCCCGCUCGCCGGAAGACCAAGGGUUCCUGUCCAACGUUAAUCGGGGCAGGGUGAGUCGACCCCUAAGGCGAGGCCGAAAGGCGUAGUCGAUGGGAAACGGGUUAAUAUUCCCGUACUUGGUGUUACUGCGAAGGGGGGACGGAGAAGGCUAUGUUGGCCGGGCGACGGUUGUCCCGGUUUAAGCGUGUAGGUGUGUGUUCCAGGUAAAUCCGGUUCACUUUAACACUGAGGCGUGACGACGAGGCACUACGGUGCUGAAGCAACAAAUGCCCUGCUUCCAGGAAAAGCCUCUAAGCAUCAGGUAACACGAAAUCGUACCCCAAACCGACACAGGUGGUCAGGUAGAGAAUACCAAGGCGCUUGAGAGAACUCGGGUGAAGGAACUAGGCAAAAUGGUGCCGUAACUUCGGGAGAAGGCACGCUGACACGUAGGUGAAGUGAUUUACUCAUGGAGCUGAAGUCAGUCGAAGAUACCAGCUGGCUGCAACUGUUUAUUAAAAACACAGCACUGUGCAAACACGAAAGUGGACGUAUACGGUGUGACGCCUGCCCGGUGCCGGAAGGUUAAUUGAUGGGGUCAGCGUAAGCGAAGCUCCUGAUCGAAGCCCCGGUAAACGGCGGCCGUAACUAUAACGGUCCUAAGGUAGCGAAAUUCCUUGUCGGGUAAGUUCCGACCUGCACGAAUGGCGUAAUGAUGGCCAGGCUGUCUCCACCCGAGACUCAGUGAAAUUGAACUCGCUGUGAAGAUGCAGUGUACCCGCGGCAAGACGGAAAGACCCCGUGAACCUUUACUAUAGCUUGACACUGAACAUUGAGCCUUGAUGUGUAGGAUAGGUGGGAGGCUUUGAAGUGUGGACGCCAGUCUGCAUGGAGCCGACCUUGAAAUACCACCCUUUAAUGUUUGAUGUUCUAACGUGGACCCGUAAUCCGGGUUGCGGACAGUGUCUGGUGGGUAGUUUGACUGGGGCGGUCUCCUCCUAAAGAGUAACGGAGGAGCACGAAGGUUGGCUAAUCCUGGUCGGACAUCAGGAGGUUAGUGCAAUGGCAUAAGCCAGCUUGACUGCGAGCGUGACGGCGCGAGCAGGUGCGAAAGCAGGUCAUAGUGAUCCGGUGGUUCUGAAUGGAAGGGCCAUCGCUCAACGGAUAAAAGGUACUCCGGGGAUAACAGGCUGAUACCGCCCAAGAGUUCAUAUCGACGGCGGUGUUUGGCACCUCGAUGUCGGCUCAUCACAUCCUGGGGCUGAAGUAGGUCCCAAGGGUAUGGCUGUUCGCCAUUUAAAGUGGUACGCGAGCUGGGUUUAGAACGUCGUGAGACAGUUCGGUCCCUAUCUGCCGUGGGCGCUGGAGAACUGAGGGGGGCUGCUCCUAGUACGAGAGGACCGGAGUGGACGCAUCACUGGUGUUCGGGUUGUCAUGCCAAUGGCACUGCCCGGUAGCUAAAUGCGGAAGAGAUAAGUGCUGAAAGCAUCUAAGCACGAAACUUGCCCCGAGAUGAGUUCUCCCUGAGACUUAGAGUCUCCUGAAGGAACGUUGAAGACGACGACGUUGAUAGGCCGGGUGUGUAAGCGCAGCGAUGCGUUGAGCUAACCGGUACUAAUGAACCGUGAGGCUUAACCUU